rnacentral:rRNA from 1 species
GAUGAACGCUGGCGGCGUGCCUAAUACAUGCAAGUCGAGCGAACAGACGAGGAGCUUGCUCCUCUGACGUUAGCGGCGGACGGGUGAGUAGCACGUGGAUAACCUACCUAUAAGACUGGGAUAACUUCGGGAAACCGGCGCUAAUACCGGAUAAUAUAUUGAACCGCAUGGUUCAAUAGUGAAAGACGGUUUUGCUGUCACUUAUAGAUGGAUCCGCGCCGCAUUAGCUAGUUGGUAAGGUAACGGCUUACCAAGGCAACGAUGCGUAGCCGACCUGAGAGGGUGAUCGGCCACACUGGAACUGAGACACGGUCCAGACUCCUACGGGAGGCAGCAGUAGGGAAUCUUCCGCAAUGGGCGAAAGCCUGACGGAGCAACGCCGCGUGAGUGAUGAAGGUCUUCGGAUCGUAAAACUCUGUUAUUAGGGAAGAACAAAUGUGUAAGGAACUAUGCACGUCUUGACGGUACCUAAUCAGAAAGCCACGGCUAACUACGUG